rnacentral:rRNA from 1 species
CCCGGUUUUUUAACAAAACAUGUCUUAAUGUUAAUAUUUAUUAAGUCUUGCCUGCUCAAUGAUUAUAAAUUAAAUAGCCGCAGUAUUUUGACUGUGCGAAGGUAGCAUAAUCAUUUGUCUUUUAAUUGAAGGCUUGUAUGAAUGGUUUGAUGAAAAAUUAACUUUCUUUAUAUUAAAUUAUUGAAAUUAAUAUUUUAGUUAAAAAGCUAAAAUUUUUAAAUGGGACGAGAAGACCCUAUAGAAUUUUAUUUCUUUGGAUUUUUAAAUUUUUAGGUAUUUUUUUUAUUUAAAAUUUUAUAGAAAUUUUGUUGGGGUGAUGCUGGGAAUUAAUUAACUCCCAUAAUUAUUAAAAUUAUUAAUUAGUAUAUUUAAGAUCCUAUUUUAUGGAUAAGUAGAUUAAAUUACCUUAGGGAUAACAGCGUAAUUCUUCUGGAUAGUUCUUAUUGAUAGUGGAGUUUGCGACCUCGAUGUUGGAUUAAAAUUAGAUUUAAGUGCAGAAGCUUAAUUUCUGGGUCUGUUCGACCUUUAAAAUUUUACAUGAUCUAAUUUUCAACCCGG